CCUACGGGCGGCUGCAGUGGGGAAUAUUGGACAAUGGGCGAAAGCCUGAUCCAGCCAUGCCGCGUGUGUGAAGAAGGCCUUCGGGUUGUAAAGCACUUUCAGUGGGGAAGAAAGCCUUGGGGCUAAUACCCUCGAGGAAGGACAUCACCCACAGAAGAAGCACCGGCUAACUCCGGGCCAGCAGCCGCGGUAAUACGGAGGGUGCGAGCGUUAAUCGGAAUUACUGGGCGUAAAGCGCGCGUAGGCGGUCUGAUAAGCCGGUUGUGAAAGCCCCGGGCUCAACCUGGGAACGGCAUCCGGAACUGUCAGGCUAGAGUGCAGGAGAGGAAGGUAGAAUUCCCGGUGUAGCGGUGAAAUGCGUAGAGAUCGGGAGGAAUACCAGUGGCGAAGGCGGCCUUCUGGACUGACACUGACGCUGAGGUGCGAAAGCGUGGGUAGCAAACAGGAUUAGAUACCCCGGUAGUC
rnacentral:rRNA from 1 species